AACGAACGCUGGCGGCAGGCUUAACACAUGCAAGUCGAACGGACGUAGCAAUACGUUAGUGGCAGACGGGUGAGUAACACGUGGGAACAUACCCUUUGGUUCGGAAUAACUCAGGGAAACUUGAGCUAAUACCGGAUAAGUCCGAGAGGAGAAAGAUUUAUCGCCGAAGGAGUGGCCCGCGUCUGAUUAGCUAGUUGGUGAGGUAAUGGCUCACCAAGGCGACGAUCAGUAGCUGGUCUGAGAGGAUGAUCAGCCACACUGGGACUGAGACACGGCCCAGACUCCUACGGGAGGCAGCAGUGGGGAAUAUUGGACAAUGGGGGCAACCCUGAUCCAGCCAUGCCGCGUGAGUGAUGAAGGCCUUAGGGUUGUAAAACUCUUUUGUCCGGGAAGAUAAUGACUGUACCGGAAGAAUAAGCCCCGGCUAACUUCGUGCCAGCCGCCGCAGUAAAAC
rnacentral:rRNA from 1 species